AGUGAACGCUAGCGGUAGGCCUAACACAUGCAAGUCGAACGGCAGCACAGGAGAGCUUGCUCUCUGGGUGGCGAGUGGCGGACGGGUGAGGAAUACAUCGGAAUCUACUCUGUCGUGGGGGAUAACGUAGGGAAACUUACGCUAAUACCGCAUACAACCUACGGGUGAAAGCAGGGGAUCUUCGGACCUUGCGCGAUUGAAUGAGCCGAUGUCGGAUUAGCUAGUUGGCGGGGUAAAGGCCCACCAAGGCGACGAUCCGUAGCUGGUCUGAGAGGAUGAUCAGCCACACUGGAACUGAGACACGGUCCAGACUCCUACGGGAGGCAGCAGUGGGGAAUAUUGGACAAUGGGCGCAAGCCUGAUCCAGCCAUACCGCGUGGGUGAAGAAGGCCUUCGGGUUGUAAAGCCCUUUUGUUGGGAAAGAAAUCCAGCUGGCUAAUACCCGGUUGGGAUGACGGUACCCAAAGAAUAAGCACCGGCUAACUUCGUGCCAGCCGCCGCAGUAA
rnacentral:rRNA from 1 species